rnacentral:tRNA from 1 species
AGUCUUAUAGUCAACAAUGACAUUAAAUUGCAAAUUUAAAAGUAGGGAUUCCUUAAGGCUU